AUGUGCCAGAAUUUCCUUCCUUUUUAAGGUUGAAUAAUAUUCUAUUUUACAUGUAUAACACGUUUUAUUCAUCCACUCAUUGGUCAAUCAUACCAUCUGGUUUUAACCACUGUUGCUUUACUAUAAAUCUUGAUAUCAGGGAUGUAUGCUCCCUUUCUUUAGUCCUGUGGUACAAAAUAAUCUGAGCUAUUCUUAGCUCUUACUUUUCCCUGUUAAUUUGGGAACCACCUAGAAGUUGUGUACAUGCAGACACACACACAUACAAACACA
rnacentral:lncRNA from 10 species